UACGGGGGGAGCAAGCGUUGUUCGGAUUUACUGGGCGUAAAGGGCGCGUAGGCGGUCGUGCCAAGUCACUUGUGAAAUCUCCGGGCUUAACUCGGAACGGUCAAGUGAUACUGUCGGACUAGAGUACAGAAGGGGCAACUGGAAUUCUCGGUGUAGCGGUGAAAUGCGCAGAUAUCAGGAGGAACACCGAUGGCGAAGGCAGGUCUCUGGGCCGAUACUGACGCUGGGGAGCGAAAGCGUGGGGAGCGAACAGG
rnacentral:rRNA from 1 species